rnacentral:rRNA from 2 species
UGUAGGUUGUUUGUUAGUCUGACGUCAAAACUUGGGGCUCAACCCCAAAUCGCGUUGGAUACUGGCUUACUAGAGUUAUGUAGAGGUUAGCGGAAUUCCUUGUGAAGCGGUGGAAUGCGUAGAUAUAAGGAAGAAUACCAAUAUGGCGAAGGCAGCUAACUGGACAUACACUGACACUGAGAGACGAAAGCGUGGGGAGCAAACAGGAUUAGAUACCCUGGUAGUCCACGCCCUAAACGAUGAUCAUUAGCUGAUGGAGAAUUCAUCGGCGCAGCUAACGCAUUAAAUGAUCCGCCUGAGUAGUACGUUCGCAAGAAUAAAACUUAAAGGAAUUGACGGGGAUCCGCACAAGCGGUGGAGCAUGUGGUUUAAUUUGAGGAUACGCGUAGAACCUUACCCACUCUUGACAUCUUCUGCAAAGCUAUAGAGAUAUAGUGGAGGUUAACAGAAUGACAGAUGGUGCAUGGUUGUCGUCAGCUCGUGUCGUGAGAUGUUCGGUUAAGUCCUGCAACGAGCGCAACCCUUGUCCUUAGUUACUACCU